GGAAAAAAAUAUCAUAACAUACACAAACACAAAGUUUUCUUUGGUCUUUACUAAUUGGAACCUUUUUUAUUGACGAGCCACAGAAAUUGCACCUAUCAAAGCAACUAAAAGAAUUAUUGAAAUGAGUUCAAAUGGAAGAAAAAAAUCUGUUGAUAAAUGAAUUCCUAUUUGUUGACUAUUACUUAUUAAAUCUUGUUCUAAAAUCUGGUUUAAUCUUGUAGUCCAAAUAACCCCGUACCAUGACGUAUCGAGAAUAGUAGAAAUUAAUGAAAAAAGAAUAGUUGUACAAACCACUGAAGUAAUCCCAUUCCCAACAGUCCACAGAUUGAAAUCUAUGGAAUAUUCGGAAUCAUUCAUGAACAUCACAGCAAAUAUGAUUAAAACAUUUAUGGCUCCCACGUAAAUAAGGAGUUGUGCAGCAGCUACAAAAUGGGAAUUUGCUAGAAUAUACAAUAAAGAUAUACAAACAAGAACAAAUCCUAAGGAAAAGGCUGAAAAUAUUGGGUUAGGAAGUAAUACCACUCCCAGACCUCCUACUAGAAGACCAGAUCCCAGAAAAACUAAAAGAAAAUCAUGUAUUGGUCCAGGCAAAUCCAUUAUAUUAUUAAAAAAAGAAAAAAUAGAAAUCCUUUUCAUGACCUUAUUAAUUUAACCGGGGAAUUUUUUUUUAAUAUGUUUCUAAUAGAGUGAAAUUAGAAUCUAAUGAAUAUUAAUUGAUGUAGAUACAAUUAUUAGACAGUUUCGCUUUUUUAUUCUAAUAUUUUCAACCUAUCUAUUUCAAGCAAGAUAAUAAUUACGAAAAUAUUAUAUUAAAAGGAUGAGCCUUAAUACUUAAUAUUAUUCUAUAAAUACAAGUUUUUAAUUAAAUUCUUUAUAUAAUAUAAUUCAACAGUUUUGCAUUCUUUUUUUAAUAAAAUUAAUGGGUUUACCCAUUUUUUGUUUGAGGUGAAUUCAAAAUUGUUCGAAUAGUAUAAUCGUCAAUUACUGACAUUGGUAAACGCCCCAAAGCGAUUUGAUUAUAAUUCAACUCGUGACGAUCAUAAGUUGAAAACUCAUAUUCUUCAGUCAUUGACAAACAAUUUGUUGGACAAUACUCAACACAAUUACCACAAAAUAUACAAAUUCCAAAAUCAAUACUGUAAUUAAGCAAUCGUUUUUUUCGAAUAUUAGUUUCCAAUUUCCAAUCAACAACCGGCAGAUCUAUAGGACAUACUCGAACACAUACUUCACAAGCAAUGCAUUUAUCAAAUUCGAAAUGGAUUCGACCGCGGAAACGUUCUGAUGUUAUUAAUUUUUCAUAGGGAUAUUGAAUAGUUACAGGUAAACGAUUUGUGUGGGAUAAGGUAAUCAUGAAACCCUGACCAAUAUACCUUGCAGCUCGUAGGGUUUGUUGACCAUAAUUCAUGAACCCGGUUAUCAUAGGAAGCAUAUUGUAAUUAUCUAUGAAUAAUUUGAUCUUUGUUUCUUUCUCUUGUUUAAAACAAGUAAUGAAUAUCUUGGAUUGAUUUUCAAUUUAGAGUGAAAAGAGUUGGAAAGAAGUUGUUAAUAAUAGAUUACCAAGGGAAAUCGGUAAAAGAAAUUUCCAUCCAAGAUUUAAUAGUUGAUCCAUUCUUAGCCUAGGUAAAGUCCAUCUGGUUGCGAUAGAAAUGAACAAGAACAAAUAAGUUUUAGCUAAUGUAAUAAAGAUACCAAUUGUUGUUCCAAAAAUUUGAUCCUUUUCAAAUAGCUCCAGCAUAGAUAUAUACGGAAUAGAAAUAUUCCAACCGCCUAAGUAUAGAACUGUUACAAAUAAUGAGGAAAUUAAUAGAUUUAGAUAAGAAGCAACAUAAAAUAAACCAAAUUUGAUACCGGAAUAUUCAGUUUGAUAACCUGCUAUUAAUUCUUCUUCCGCUUCUGGUAAAUCAAAAGGUAACCUCUCGCAUUCUGCUAGGGAAGAAAUUAGAAAAAUGAUAAAACCUAUAGGUUGACGCCACAAAUUCCAUCCCCAAAAACCAUAUUUUGAUUGUGCCUCAACUAUAUCAACUGUACUUAAACUGUUAGAUAAUCCUAGUCGGUGAUAACAUUACUAUUCUCACCGCUAUUACAAAACCGUACAUGAGGUUUUCGCCUCAUACGGCUCCUCGGGGGCCGUAAAUAAAUAUAAGGACCAGAUUAGUAUUAUUUAGAUGGAUAUGAUGUGUUCUAAAAUGGAUUAAAUAGAAAUAUAUCUGGGGUCCCGAAUUAUACCAAUGGAAUUCUGUCUGCUCAAAUUCUAAAACUAAAAAACGCGCUUCGGAAUUCAUCUCAUCCUUUACAAAUUUUAAUUUCUAUUUGUUGAGUAAUAACUUAAUCCUUUAAUAAAGCACCCCUUGUAAAACUAAACCUAGGUUUUUCAGCCCGUCGUGUUUUUCAAUUACGAAAAAGAAUUAAACAUCCUAUUAGUUUCUUAUUCAUGAUAGAAAUUCUAUUUUAUUUUCGAAAUCUAUAAAAAAAAAUAUACUUGUUUCGUUCCUAUUCUUCUUUCUUUCUUUUUUAGAAAAAAAGUAGGUGGACUUAAAAAAAAAUAAAGGAUUAUUUCGUUUCUGAUAGUCAUUACAUUUAUCGGUGGAUGGGAGCAUACUCUGAAUCGGAAUCUUGGGGAGUACUGCCUGAUAAUUUCUACAAAUUUCAAGCCCCAAUUAACCUUCUUUUUUUGUUAUCUUAUGUUAUGCAUAAAUAUCCUUUUCAAUUUGGUUAAUCUCUAUUACAAAUUCUUUGUGUAUUUUGGUGUUUCUAACCAUCCACGCGUUUUUACCUAAUUGCCGAUCACUUUGUAAUAUAUGUAUAUGUAUAGUAAUUUAUAUAACUGAUAGUGAAAACGUCAUACGGUUAAUAUUUUUUUUAACCCGCUUCAAGCCCGGCUGACUAAUCAACCAACCUUGGGGUAAAGCGAUUCUUACGCUUACGUUUAUUUCCAUUUAACCUUUGUACAUAGGAAAUGAGACUUAAUUUUUCUUUUUACUGCUAAUUUCUGAGCAGUUUUUUUUCACUCAUAUAUAACUAUCAAAUUCAAAUUCCUUUUAUUAAGAUAAACCCGAAAGAUAAAUAUAUAUAUUCCGUUUUUUUUUUCAUUUUUUUUUUAUCUAGAAGAAACGGAAUAAACCUUUCUGUUUCAACGAAUCGCACGUAGAGAUAUUGAUAAAACACAUAGAGUUAAUGGUAUUUCAUAACUAAUCGCUUGAGCAGCAGCUCGCAGACCACCUAAAAAAGAAUAUUUAUUAUUUGAUCCAUAUCCUGACAUAAGAAGUCCGAUCGGAGCAACACUUGAGAUGGCAAUCCAUAAAAAAAUACCGAUAUUGAGAUCCGCUAAAACAAGGUGAUUGCUAAAAGGAAUUACUGAAUAACUUAGUAAAAUAGAGAUAACUGCUAUAGAUGGUCCAAUACUAAAUAAAGGAGUAUUUCCUCUAGAUGGACGAAGAUCUUCUUUGAAAAGUAGUUUUGUCCCGUCGGCUAAAGCUUGAAGAAUUCCUAACGGGCCGGCGUAUUCAGGUCCAAUACGUUGUUGUAUCCCUGCAGAUAUUUCUCUUUCUAACCACACAAUUACUAGUACACCAGUUAUGAUUCCCAAUACAAGAGAAAAUAUAGGGACAAAUAUCCAUAUGAGUCCAUAGACCUCUUUUAAAGAUUCCAAUCUAAGAAAAGAAUUUAUUGUUUGUACUUCUGUUGCAUAAAUUAUCAUUUUAACGAUCAACUUCUCCCAUAAUUAUAUCUAUGCUACCGAGUAUCGUCAUAAUAUCAGCCAAUUUCAUUCUUUUAACUAGUUCAGGAAGAAUUUGCAAAUUAAUAAAACCCGGCGGUCGGAUUUUCCAUCUCCAAGGAAAACCACUUUGAUCUCCUAUGAGAAAAAUUCCCAAUUCCCCUUUUGGAGCUUCAACUCUUACGUAAAGUUCUUGUUUCGAUAAUUCAAAAGUAGGGGAAGGUUUUUUACUAAUGAAUCGAUAUUCAAAAUCAUUCCACUCUGGAUUCCUUUUUUUAUCAAAGCCUCUGCUUUCUAAAUUUUCAUAGGGACCCCCCGGAAGUCCUUCCAGAGCCUGUUGAAUAAUUUUGAUGGAUUCUGUCAUUUCGCUAAGUCGUACUAAAUAACGAGCUAAUGAAUCUCCUUGUUUUUGCCACUGAAUUUCCCAUUCAAAUUCAUCGUAAGACUCAUAACGAUCAACUUUACGAAGAUCCCAUGGUAUUCCGGAUGCGCGUAACAUUGGUCCGGAUAAACCCCAAUUUAUUGCUUCUUCCCCACCAAUAAUCCCAACGCCUUCAACUCGUUCUAAAAAAAUAGGAUUUCGUGUAAUAAGUUUUUGAUAUUCAACAACCUCUGUUAAAAAAUAAUCACAAAAAUCCAAGCAUUUAUCUAUCCAACCAUAAGGUAAAUCCGCCGCUAUUCCUCCAAUACGAAAAAAAUUAUGCAUCAUUCUCAUACCGGUGGCAGCUUCGAAUAGAUCAUAUACAAAUUCUCGUUCUCUGAAAAUAUAGAAAAAGGGAGUCUGUGCCCCAAUAUCUGCCAUAAAAGGGCCAAGCCAUAACAGAUGAGAAGCUAUACGACUCAAUUCUAGCAUAAUUACUCUGAUAUAGCUGGCUCUUUUAGGAACUUGAAUAUUUCCUAAUUGUUCGGGUCCGUUUACUGUUAUUGCUUCUGUAAACAUAGUAGCUAAAUAAUCCCACCGCGUUACAUAAGGUAAAUAUUGUAUAAUUGCUCGGUUUUCUGCAAUUUUUUCCAUUCCUCUGUGUAAAUAACCCAAUAUGGGUUCACAAUCAACAACAUCCUCACCGUCUAGAGUAACAAUUAAGCGAAGAACACCGUGCAUGGAUGGGUGGUGAGGUCCCAUAUUGACUAUCAUAAGAUCUUUUCCUGUAACUGGUCUCUUCAUAAGUUUUUCCUUGAUUCGUUCUGGUAUGAAUUAGAUUGCUGAAAAAGAAGUUUAUUCAAAAAUUCAAGAUCUAAAAAAUUAACUAAUUCACAAUUUUGGAAUUUAACGAGUUUUUAAUUCCCGAAUAUUCAACUGAUUAAUUAAUUCUUUAUAACGUACUCUAUUUUUUUUUGACAAAUAAGCCAGCAGUCGUUGACGUUUUCCCAGAAUUUUUCGUAGACCUCUCUGAGAUAAAUAAUCUUUUCUGUGCAAUUCCAAAUGUGAAGUAAGUCUUCGUAUCUUAUUAGUGAAACUGACUACUUGAAAUUCAACAGAUCCCUUGCUUUCUUCUUUUUUUUCUUGAAAUGAAAUGAAUGUAUUUUUUAUCAUAAAAAGAAAUCCUUCCCUUUUUAAUAUGAAUUGAAAGAUAUGAAUUUUACUGAUCAGUAAUAAUAAUGGUAGUUUUUUUGUACAAGGAUCCGAAUUUAAUUAUCAACUUAUUAAUUCUUAAUUUUAUAAAAAAAAAGUUUAAAUUUCGAUCUAAAAAAGGAGGAUUUUAAAAAUUUAUUUAUGAAUUCGCUCUGAGUGGUAUCUAUGUCAUUAAUUCAAUGAAUCUCAUGUAUAAAGAUUGAAUUAAAAAAAAUCCCUCACAUUUGUGCAUCCAAUUGUUUUCAUAUACCGUAACUUAUAUUAUAUAUUGUUCAUAUACCGUAACUUAAUACUAUAUAUAUAGUCAAAAUAUAGUAAAAAGGAUCUACCAUUAAUGCAUUUGAAAUCGCGUAUACAUGUGUAUUCUUAUCAUACUGAAAUGAUUUCCAUUAGUCGUAUUAAACCAAUAGCGAUUCAUACAAGCUAAAUCUUCUAAUCGAAAAUUGGGCCAAAGAAAGGAUUUUAAUUUAAUUAGGUUUUUUUUAUCCUUAUCAAGAUCUUUCUUUUUAUUCAAAACUGUGGUCAAGUUUUGAAUAUUUGUAUCAAAUUUUGAAUUUCUAUCCCUUGCAUUUUUUUUUUUUAAAUUGAAACAAAUUAGAAUUCGAAAUUCUUUACGUCGUUUAGGGGAUAGAAUAGUUUCAGGGACAAAGAAAUUUAAACUUUUUUUUUUAUAAAUAUAGCUUUUUUUUUUUGAUCUUUUACUUAUUUUUUGUUUAUUUUUAUGAACCAAUGAAAUCCCGAUGGUUCUAUAUAUAAUAAGUUGGCCGUCGUUUUUUACAGACAAACGAACAGGUUCAACAAUCAAUAUUCCUUUUUUCAUUAAUUUUGAAAAAGUGAAAUUCUUCUCAAUCAUUAGAAUAUCUAAGCUCAUCUCUCCUCUUUCAAUACAAGAUAUCGUUAUCUCGGUUGGAUUUUUUAGUCUAACCAAGAGACAGUAUGCUUUUACAUUAUUGAGGAUUUUUUGAUUAAAAAAACAAUUCCAUCGCAAUUGAAAACGCGAAUACCUUUUGAGAAAUAAGUCAAGUUCCGCUUCGGUAUUGCUUUUUGGUUUUUUUUUAUUUUUACGUUUUUUUAUCUUCGAUUCUGUAUAAUUUUCUUCAAUAUUUUUUUCUUGCUUUGAUAGAGCUGAUUCCGUAUUUAUUUUUGUUUCUUUAUCUGAUUCAAACUCUUCUUGACCUGCUGAUUCGUUUUCUUCUUUAUUUAGAUUAAAAAACCGAAGGAAUUUUUUUUCGUUUGAUGGUAUAAAACCUUUUUUCUUUAGGGUGAUCUGUUUAUUCACAUUUUUUGUUUCAUUAAAAUUGAAAAGAAGUGAUUUAAUUGGUAUGACCCACGGUUUCAUUUUAUAUGUACUAGAAAAUAAGAAAAAUUCUGGAAAGAAAAAAAAGUCAAAAUUUGUUAUACGAGGAUUUAGUAUUUCUUCAUUCAUUCCCAUCCAAUCAAAAAAAUUUAUUUUUUGAUUGGCAAGACUCGUCUUAGUUAUUUUAUAAAUUCUUUUAUAAUUCUUAACUUUAGUUUUAAUAUAUUUUUUUUUACUCCUAGUAUCAAGCUCAAUAUUUACUUUUUUUCUAAACCAAAAGUUGAGAAUUCUCCAAUCCAAAUAUUUUCUAUGCAAAAUUUCCCCUAUACUGCGAAUAUUAUAUUUUUCUAGAAAACAAGAGAUUAAAAAAUUUUCUAGGCCUGUAGACAUAUCAAAAAAUUUUUCUGUAGAAUGAAUAGAUUUGUAGCAAAAAAGAUUAUAUAUAGAAUCCUUUUUGAAAUUCUGUUUAUGUUUUGGAUUGAAAAAUAAGUUAGCCUCACAAAAAUUUUGUUUUUUGUAAUUAUCAAAAAUUUUUUUUUCGUAUGAAUCCACUUUGUUUAAACUUGGAUUUAGAACUAGAGAGUCUUGGUUUAGUUUUUUUUUCCAUUUUUGGGUUACUAAUCUAGCCCAUGCAAUCUGAGGUAAAUUAUAUUGAGAAUGACUUCGUAACCAGUUUUUCCAUUGAUUUAUUUCGGAAUUUAAAAGGGUUUUAUCUUUCCAUUCAUAAUGAAAGAUUCCUUGUUCUUUAAAAAAAUCUUUUAUUUGAUUCUUAACAAAAAAGGAUGUUAUGUAUAUGUUAUAUUCAAAAAAAGACUUUAAUUUAGAAAAGUUACUAACUUGAAUUUGUGAUAAUUUGUAAAAUACAUAUGCUUGUGAUAAAGAGCAUAAGUCAUAACUAAAAAAAUUUUUUUUUGAUAUGAAAUUUUUUAUAGUCGAAAUAAAAUAAAUGGUAUUUUUUUUUUUUUUUCUCCAUUUUCCUCAUUCUUGUAAAUAUAUACAUCAAGAAUUUUUUUUGUUGAAUCAACAAAAAGUUGUGUAGUAAUUCUUGGAAUAUUAAUAAUACCUAGAAAAAUAGAAAUAGACAGUUGUUCAACGCAAAAUUGAAAAAAAAAAAAAGAUUUACGAAUUAAUCGAGUUUUUUUUUUUUUUAAUGUCUGCCAACUUUUUUUUGAUGACUCAAUUAUUUUAGAAUCAUAACACAGUUUGUUACAACUAUUAGUUAGUUUUUCUUUUUCUUUUGAAAUUUUUUUCGUUUGAUUUCUGAUUGUCUUUAUUUUAUCAAUCACAUUUUUUAUUUUGUUUUCGCUGAGUGAAGAAUUUGGCCACUCCGUCGAUUUUUUUUGAACAGAUAGUUCAUGAAUCAUCUGAUUACUCAUUAUUGAAUCUUUUUUAGUUUCAUUUAAUUCAUAUAUUUCUCUCGGGCCAACUAAUGGAAUUCUAUUUCGUUUUGAAAGGUUUUUUUUUUUUUCUUUUAGAAAAAGCAAGUUUUUUAUAAUCCAGUUUUUAAUUUCUUUUUCGACUUUUAGGAAAAUUGUUGCUCUUUCUUUGAAAAUCCUUAAAACCGGAAAAGACUUCGUUUUGGAUUUUUUGAUUCUUUUUUUUAAUUCUUUAAAAAUAGGUUUAAAAAAAGAAGGCUUUGGUUUGGUAGAACCAAAAGGUAGGUCAGUUUCCAGCCCCCAAACUGUUAAAAAACGAAAAUCAUUUUUUUCUCCUUUUGUUUUUUUUAGUCGAGCCUUCUGAGAUGAUUGAAAUUUAUAUUUAUGCCAAGGUUUAAGAUAAAACGGAAAUAGGAUUUUUAUCUGAAUACCAUCCGUUAACCAGUUUCGUGGAAAUUCUGUUUCGGAUAGUUGAACCCCAUUAUAAGUACAUUUAACAUGCAUUUCACGUUUCCACUCCUUUAAAUCCUCUUCCCACUCGGGAAGUUGAAAUAAUACGAUACGGAUGCUAUUUUUAAUUAUUAUCAAUAAAGGUAAUAUAAUAUAUUUUCUAAGAAUAGAUUGAGUUACUAAAAUAAAACCUCUUAUUAUUUGAGCAAAUAAGAAGCUAUCCCAAGUUUCCGCAAUUUCUAUACGUCUUUGUUCUUCUUUUUUUGAUUGUUCUUCUUCGUUUUUAUCAAAAAAAAUUUUUUUUUUCCACAUGAAAUUUCUAAGAAUUUUUUUUUUUAGCCCCCAUAUAUCAAACGAAAAAAAAAAAAAUUUAUCUAUUCUAUCAAAAAAAAGGGGCGAAUGUGCUUUUGCUUGCAAAAAUUCCCAAAUAACAGUUUUACGCCUUUGGGAACGCAUGGAUCCUUUAAUUAUCUCUCGACGAAAAUCAGAUUGUUGUGAAUAACGGAUCAAAGCCAUUUCAUCUGUUUGAUCAGAAUUUUGAUUAUCUUUGAGAUUAGUAUAAAUCUCGUUAUGCGGUUCUUUUAAAUCAGUAAAAACCACUACACGUUUUGCUUUUCUUGAACGAAUUCCAGGUUCGGUUGGUAUAUUUUCUUCAGUUUCAGCUUCCAAUUCUUCCAAUUCACUUGUUAAUUUGUAUGACCAUUGAGGAACUUGUUUAUUGAUUUCAUGGAAAUCAAUAAAAUUUUUUAUAAGAGUUUGAUCAUUAUUAUAAAUUAUAACGACAUCAAAUAAAAUUUUGAAAAUUUUUAUUUCUUCUUCUGACUGAAUUUUUUCUUCUUGGGGUUCGGAAAAAAAAUAAAGUUUUUUCUCUAUUGAUAAAGACUUUCUUUUAAAUUUUUCUAUUGUUUGCUCAAAUUUUUGAGAAUUAAUCUUCAGAAGUAUAGCAUGAAUUUUGUUUAUCCAAGAUCCUCUUAUAUUCUUUUUUUUAUAGGUUUUGGUUAUGAUUUGGAACGGAGAUAAUUUUUUGAUUCUUCCGCGCGAAAUCCCAUGUAAAAAUGGAUCAUAAAUUUUAGGUAAAUAUUCUUUUUGAGUUUCGUUAUGACAAAAUCGAGUUGUUUUUUCCAGUAUAUUUUCAAUAGACCCUUUUUUAUCUAAAGCUUCAAUUCUAUUUAAAAAUUCGUUUUUUAAAUUUUCCUUUUUUUCUUCAUUGACCAAACUCCAACAAGUAUAAACUUGAUCCGAGGUUUUUUUUUCUGUUGUAAAUGAAGGGAUCUUUUUUUGUAUCAUUUCAAAAAAAGUUGAAAGGUUGGGGGGAUAUGUAAAAGAUAUUCGUUCUUUUCCAUCACUUUGGCAUGUAUAAAAAAAAUAUUGUGACAUUUCAUUUCUUACAGUAUUUUCAAUUUUAUCAUUUUUUAUAUAUCGAUUUGGUCUAUUCCAUCUUUUAUAAUCGAAAACUAGAGUUACAAAAGGUUUUUCAAACCAUAAAAAACGAUCCUCUUUUUUUUUUAUUUUGAAAAAUUCUAAAUUAGAAUUUUCUUUAUUUCCAUCUCGAUUUUCAGAAACUGUUUUAUAGUUAUAGUAUGUUCGAA
rnacentral:lncRNA from 1 species